rnacentral:rRNA from 1 species
AUUGAACGCUGGCGGCAGGCCUAACACAUGCAAGUCGAGCGGAGCGGCGGACGGGUGAGUAAUGCCUAGGAAUCUGCCUGGUAGUGGGGGCUAACGUCCGGAAACGGGCGCUAAUACCGCAUACUAUCAGAUGAGCCUAGGUCGGAUUAGCUAGUUGGUGGGGUAAAGGCCUACCAGGGCGACGAUCCGUAACUGGUCUGAGAGGAUGAUCAGUCACACUGGAACUGAGAAACGGUCCAGACUGCUACGGGAGGCAGCAGUGGGGAAGAUUGGACAAUGGGCAAAAGCCUGAUCCAGCCAUGCCGCGUCGGUGAAAAAGGUAUUCGGAGUGUAAAGCACUUUAAGUUGGAGGGCGUUACCAACAGAAUAAGCGCCGGCUAACAUCGUGCCAGCAGCCGCGGUAGUAC